UACGUAGGGGGCUAGCGUUGUCCGGAAUCAUUGGGCGUAAAGCGCGUGUAGGCGGUCCGGUAAGUCCGCUGUGAAAGUCGAGGGCUCAACCCUCGAAUGCCGGUGGAUACUGUCGGGCUAGAGUGCGGAAGAGGCGAGUGGAAUUCCUGGUGUAGCGGUGAAAUGCGCAGAUAUCCGGAGGAACACCAGCGGCGAAGGCGGCUUUCUGGUCCGAUACUGACGCUGAGGUGCGAAAGCGUGGGGAGCGAUCCGG
rnacentral:rRNA from 1 species